rnacentral:lncRNA from 1 species
GCAUCCUUCAUGAACCUUAAAGCAUAUGAAACAAUAUUUUUGCAAUAUUGUGCUAAAAAGGCAUUUCUAAAAUCACCUUUUUACUUAAAAAAAUUGAAUAAGAUAUGAAUUCAGGUCAAAUACUUAAGUGCACCACAAAGAGAGGGUUGAAGCAGAAUGCUUUUAGUUCUGACGUGCAUCCACUAAAACGCAGUGCUGCUUCAUGGAAGCAUGAACUGUAAACUAAAAGCACUAAAUGUGUUUGUGUGAAAAAUUGCUUAAACUGUUGCUUUUGACCCCGUCUGUGAGAGCCAUGUCAGGACAAAAAAACUGAAAUGCAGGAGGUUAUAGGCAGAAAUCUACAAUUUAGAAUAAAAAAAAAAACAGGAAAACCUACAUCAAGUACAUUAGUGAACAAAAAGCCCUCACAAAAGCCAGCAUCAGCUAUACUCUAAUAAUAAACCAUGCCCACUGAUGUGUAAAAAAAAAAAAUUGCAGAGAGCUGCUUAGAACUGCAUGACUUUAUAGUGGCAGAGGUGACGACUAAACAAGUGACAGGUGUGGCAAUUAACAGGGCAGGUGAUAAUGAUCAGCAGGGAGGGCAAAAACAACUGAGCAGAAAAUCGUACAAACGUCAGUCACUGUAAAAUAAGAAAAGUACCAAAUACUGACUCCAACAGCAACAUACAAAGUAGGAAAAAGAGCUAAAGAAACAAGUCAAAAAGUGUCACAGCAGCUGAUCCCCUGAUUGAAAACACUGAAUGCUGAGAGGGUUUUAUCCCCGUGUGGAGUUUCUGAUCCUGGGUGUCUGAGUCAUUCUCACCCCGAGCUGAAACAGUUGAUCCCUGGAUCUGUGCGGAAACAGAGUGGAUUUCAACGGCGAGAUGGAAGCGGGAAAGUUGUGAGAUCUCAGCCUGUCGCCACGGUUCCCUGGAAAAAGUGAGGCAGGUCCUCGGCAUAGGAAAACCCGUUGGGGAGAGUCACUUUUUGCAAGGAUUGCCAACAUUGCCAAGAUUUUUGUUUGAAGGCCAAACUAUGUGGGCAGACAGAUGCAUCUGUUCGCAUUCUGUGUAUUCCUUUUUCAAAUUUUAUCUCUCUUCCUCACCAUCUCUUUCUCUGUCGAUUACAUACACACAGACACACACACACACACACACACACACGUGCAGGAGGUUGUUUCCUCAUCGUUCACACUGAGAAAUGCCCUGUAAGGACAUCCUUAUCCUACAAACCAGACUCUGCUGGGUGCUCUGUAAUAACAGCUCCAGCCGUCCACCAUCCAAUCAGUCUGACUCUCUGCUGAGUGCGUGUGGGUUUGUGUGUGUGUUUGUUGUGAGUGCUGGAGAAUAUGUAUGAAGUUGUUCCCCCUUCCCUCUAAAAUGUGUAACCACAAAGCACAGAAAGCAUUUGUUUCCCCAACAAAACAAAAACAGACAUGAACCCUUAAAAUAAGUACCGUAUUUUUUUUAUUUUUUUAAUUAAACAGAUUGGGGAACCAAAUCCAAUCAUUUGACAUGUUUAUAUCAAUUUUGAAUAUAUCUAAAAAUAUAAACAUAUCCAAAUGUAUACACAUGAUAGGUACAGUGUGGGCAGAGAGUGGUGGAUUAUACCCUGGAGAAGUUUAAGACUUUAUGGAUGUUUGACUUUUUAUUAGACUGGCGAAGUGGGUCAGCUUUUCACUCCAUAUGAAUCUGCUGUGAACUUAAACUGACUCAUUUGAAACUUUCAACCAAUCAAUUUGAACCAAAUGUUUCUCUCAAUCAUUAAAUUCAAGUUGUUUCAAUUUGAACAUUCCUCUGGACUGACAACCAACCUUUUCAUCAGUUACGUUUUACAUCUGCUCUCUUUGAAAAUGUAUUUCAGACUUUCUUGUUCUUUUUUUAUUAUUGGAGCUCUUUUAAAAAAUAUGUUUUUGACCUGUAUUAGAUUAGCUGAACUGUACUAAAAAUGUAAAUAAACUCAGAGGUAUAAAUCUGUACUUAAAAGCUGCUUCAUGUGAAAAUUUUUACAAUAUUUGCUACUUAUCAUUAUUGUGUGUUCUUAAGUAAGAACUAUAGCACCUUGCCGUGAUUUGGUGCAAUUUAACUGCUUGAUCUGAUAUCUGAGGAGCAUCUCUCUCACCAUUUAAUAAAAGAUUACAGCAAUUGACACCUUCAUUAUUCUCUUAGACUACAUUAGUGUAGCAGAUGAGUGCAGUGCUACAAUCACUGUACAAUAUUCAAUUUAUAUCGAGCAGUUGUGGUUUUUAGUGUCAGCCCCUCCACACUCCGCAAUGCCAUUUCUCAGCCACGAUUAAACUUCACGACUGGUCCCGUUUCUCAUUCUUCUCAGGCUUAAUUGCGGUGGCCAAAUCAGCGAAUAUGUCUGUGUUAACUGAAAGUUGAGGCUGCUGUAGUCACAUUACAAAGUCGGGGUACAGCACCAGAGGUAAGUCUGGCUGAAUGUGGCUGCUGGAGGGAGGGAUUUGCAGGCAUCACUCAGGGCUAACUGGAACUGACAGUGUGCAGAGAGGUCCUAAUUACUGUCUCACUUGACUAAUUGUCGUCUCUGAAGAAUGUAUUUCCACUGAGGUCCCAGGGAUUUCACUGAGAGCAGUGCUCAGG